CCUACGGGAGGCAGCAGUGGGGAAUAUUGGACAAUGGGGGAAACCCUGAUCCAGCAAUGCCGCGUGAGUGAAGAAGGCCUUCGGGUUGUAAAGCUCUUUCAAUAGGGAAGAUGAUGACGGUACCUAUAGAAGAAGCCCCGGCUAAAUCCGUGCCAGCAGCCGCGGUAAU
rnacentral:rRNA from 1 species